rnacentral:rRNA from 1 species
AUUGAACGCUGGCGGCAGGCCUAACACAUGCAAGUCGAGCGGAUGAAGGGAGCUUGCUCCUGGAUUCAGCGGCGGACGGGUGAGUAAUGCCUAGGAAUCUGCCUGGUAGUGGGGGAUAACGUCCGGAAACGGGCGCUAAUACCGCAUACGUCCUGAGGGAGAAAGUGGGGGAUCUUCGGACCUCACGCUAUCAGAUGAGCCUAGGUCGGAUUAGCUAGUUGGUGGGGUAAAGGCCUACCAAGGCGAGGAUCCGUAACUGGUCUGAGAGGCUGAUCAGUCACACUGGAACUGAGACACGGUCCAGACUCCUGCGGGAGGCAGCAGUGGGGAAUAUUGGACAAUGGGCGAAAGCAUGAUCCAGCCAUGCCGCGUGUGUGAAGAAGGUCUUCGGAUUGUAAAGCACUUUAAGUUGGGAGGAAGGGCAGUAAGUUAAUACCUUGCUGUUUUGACGUUACCAACAGAAUAAGCACCGGCUAACUUCGUG